UUCACAGUCACAUGACACAAUCAGCCACAUUUGAAGACCCUCGAAUAGAGAGCUGCCAAAUAACCCCUCCAGCCCCUCGGAAAGUCGAAAUGAGGAGGGAUCCUGUGCUGGGAUUUGGGUUUGUGGCUGGUAGUGAAAAGCCAGUUGUUGUACGCUCAGUAACACCAGGAAAGAAGGUCUUCUCCCUAUUAUGUUUAUAUUGGUUUGAUGUCACCUUCAUUGCCAUUUAAUCAGUGUUUUCAAGAGGCGGCCCCUCUGAAGGAAAGCUUAUACCAGGGGAUCAGAUCAUAAUGAUUAAUGAUGAGCCAGUCAGCACUGCUCCAAGGGAGAGAGUCAUCGACCUUGUCAG